rnacentral:lncRNA from 1 species
AGCAAGUAAAGAAAAAUCAGUCAAUAAUAAAUUCUGUGUUUUCCAUCCACUUACUCGGUGCCUCUGCUGCUAAGCUUUGAUUAAGCGGAUAAGAAGAUAGAAGGGAGAAAAAUAGCAUAAGACAUUGUUAGCUAAAGGUGUGAAUGGAAUCCAAAGAAAACGGAUUGAGAGGUUGGUUUUGUUUAUGUAUUUAGUGGGCGCAUCCCAUUGGUUAAAACCCUCUGAUGAGGGAGGCAAAUUUCUAAGGAAGAAGAUGAUUGGCUGAAGCAGGUUUCCUCAUCAGAUCAGAUCUGAUCGAGUAAAAAGGAGGCCAAUUCCAUCUUUGAUGUUAUCCACAAUUGCACCCAACUUCCCAGCAGUCAGGUCUCUAUUCUCUUUCUUACCUUUAUUUUAAUUUAUUUGGUAAUAUAAUUAUUGCUGCUGUUGUCUAUCUCUAUAUAUUUUAAUAUGGGGAUUUCUACAUAUGUGUUUCUAGAUGCAAAUUCCUAGAGUUAUAUCUCUGUAUCUGCAGUCCCAAAAGUAUUACUUAAUUAUGAGUUUUAAAUGUCUGUAUUUGUUCUCACAGCGCCGCUAAUGAUCUAUGGCCAACCACAACCACGCGUAUGUCUACAACACUUUGUAUGGGUGUAAUUAGCAAUUGAACAAAAUUGGUAGUAAUUUCUUAUUUUCUUCGAGUAUUGAGGACUUGUUUGGUACGAAGAAUAAUGAUUCGGGAUUAUAGUAUUUCUUUUAUUCCUAUGAGAAAGUGAAAUAACUAAUCUCGAGAUAAUUAUUUCGGAAUAAUUUGUUUCCAACCAACCACCCAUGAGUGUGUUAGAUUGUUUUCACAACAUAAACGGUCUCUGCAACAAAUAUUAUAUUUUUUGGUAGAAAUAAAGGCUGAUAGUUGCAAGCUCUAGGUCUGAAAACUUUUGCCUGUAAAACUAGGCUGGAUUCUGUUUGAUAAAUGUCAUUUUCAUCACUUACUAUGGCCGGUGUGAAUCUUAUGGCUUAGUUUCUAGAUGAAUUUCUAGAUAUGUAUCUAUGUUUUCAUAUCACAGCAAGUUUGGUCAGCACAAGAUGAGUGAAAUUAAUAUGAGAUCUGAUAAGAAUAAGUAUGAACCUUGGACCUAACUCAACCCCAAAAGUUAGCUUAUGAGGUGAGGAUUGCUCAAGCCAUAUAAGGAGACCAAGGACCUCAAAUCUCUCUGAUGUGGGACAACUCAACACCCUCCCUCACGCUCAGACAUUUGGAGCAUGGACAACAUAAAUGGGGGCCCAACAUCGGUAACAAUAAUUGGGAUGAGUCUGGCUCUGAUACCAUGAUAAGAAUGGAACUUGGGCCUAACUCAACCUCAAAAGCUUGCUUAUAAGGUGAGGAUUGCCCAAGCCAUAUAAGGAGACCAAGGACCUCAAAUUCCUCCGAUGUGAAACAACUCAAUAAGAUCGAUGGAAUUAUAGUGCCUAAGAGAUAUUUAGGCUUGAUAUAUUAGAGAAAUGAUACGAGAGAUGAAAAUGUUAUGACAUAAUCAAAAUAUGAUGGUUGAAAUGGAAAAAUGCUAUUGAGGUGCUACGUCACACCUUUGUUUUAUAUAACAAUUGGGAGACCAAUAAUGUAGUCAUGUGAUAGUGAAUGUUGAUCUAAAGUCCAACCUUGACAAGAUGAAUAUUUCUGAGUUCUGGAUAAUUUGAGGUCCUACAAAAUUAGAGAUUAAAAUGAUCAAAUUAGGCAAAAGCGUAAGUAGAAAAUAUUGAGACUUUCACUUAAGGGUGUGGCCUAAUAGUAAUUAAAAUGGAUUGAGAAUUGUCUUUGGUUCAAAAUUCUAACAACAACAACAACAAGUACCCAGUAUAGUCCCAUAAAGUGGGACCUGGGGAGGGUAAUAUGUAGACGAGCCUUAUCCCUACCCGAAAGGGCAGAGAGGGUGUUUCGAAUCGACCCUCGGCUCAGAGAAGGAAAGGAAAAACAAACAAAAUCAAAAACAAAACAAAAGAGCAUUAGUAAGUCCAGCAGAAAUAGCGUAAAUAAUUAACUAAACAUAAGAACNNN